rnacentral:lncRNA from 1 species
UUCUCUCCCACAAUUCACGUCACUCUUCAUUUUUUUUUUUGAAAAAAAUUCUUCUUCUUACCAAUACAAAUAUAUUACAUGCAUCAUUAUAAUUAUUUACCAACUUACCAUGUAUAUAAAAUAAUUUAUUAGACAUGAUCGUAAAAUUUUGAUCCACAACAAAAAAACAAAAUGAAACAUUUGUACAGAUGCACGGAUCAUAUUCUAAAAAUGGUGGUAAUACAAUUGACGGUUUACAAGACAAAAUAAAAUUUUAAAAAAAAUAUAAACUAUAAAAUUAUCAUGCUUAUAAAUGUUAUUAAAUAAUUAUUUAACACAUGUAAAAUUUUAAAAUAUAUACUAUCACCUUAGGCAAAAAAAAUUAUUUACAAAAGUAAAAGCAAACAUCCGC